GACGAACGCUGGCGGCGUGCUUACACAUGCAAGUUGAACGAGAAUUUUUCGAGUGAUUUCUUCGGAAUGAUCAUGAAAAAGGAAAGUAGCGAACGGGUGAGUAACACGUGAGAAACCUGCCUUUCACAAAGGGAUAGCCUCGGGAAACCGGGAUUAAUACCUUAUGAAACCAAACACUCGCAUGAGAGAUUGGUUAAAGAUUUAUCGGUGUUAGAUGGUCUCGCGUCUGAUUAGCUAGUUGGUGGGAUAAAAGCCUACCAAGGCAACGAUCAGUAGCCGGAUUGAGAGGUUGAACGGCCACACUGGAACUGAGACACGGUCCAGACUCCUACGGGAGGCAGCAGUGGGGAAUUUUGCACAAUGGAGGAAACUCUGAUGCAGCGACGCCGCGUGAGUGAUGAAGGUCUUCGGAUUGUAAAACUCUGUCCUUAGUGAAGAUAAUGACAGUAACUAAGAAGCAAGCCCUGGCUAAAUACGUG
rnacentral:rRNA from 1 species